GAUGAACGCUGGCGGCGUGCUUAACACAUGCAAGUCGAACGAGGUCCAACCUUCGGGUGAAGACCUAGUGGCGAACGGGUGAGUAACACGUGGGGAACCUGCCCUUCUCUCUGGGAUAACGUCGAGAAAUCGGCGCUAAUACCGGAUACUCCUUGCGGAUCGCAUGGUCUGCCCGGGAAAGCUCCGGCGGAGGAGGAUGGCCCCGCGGCCCAUUAGCUAGUUGGUGAGGUAACGGCCCACCAAGGCGACGAUGGGUAGCCGAGCUGAGAGGCUGCUCGGCCACACUGGGACUGAGACACGGCCCAGACUCCUACGGGAGGCAGCAGUGGGGGAUCUUGAACAAUGGGCGAAAGCCUGAUGCAGCGACGCCGCGUGAGCGAAGAAGGCCUUCGGGUUGUAAAGCUCUGUCUGGAGGGACGAAGAAAAUGACGGUACCUCCGGAGGAAGCCACGGCUAACUACGUGCCAGCAGCCGCCGCAGUAA
rnacentral:rRNA from 1 species